rnacentral:piRNA from 1 species
UGAACUUGAUGUGGCAAUCGGGGG